rnacentral:tRNA from 1 species
GCCUUCAUCGUGUAGUGGUCUGCAAGCUCGACGCGUAACCGAGAGGUCCGUGGUUCGAUUCCCGGCGAAGGCG